rnacentral:lncRNA from 1 species
GCAAGGUGAUGUGCCUAGGUUAGUCUAAAUAUCAUCAAGAAACUAUCAAUCUUCUAAAAAUGGUAUAGUUUAUUGUUAUUAGUUCUCUAUGUAACCAAUUAUUUCAUCAGAAUCUUUUGUCACUAGGGGUGGCAAUUUACUUUGCUUCAUCGAAUAUCCGACCCAACUCGGAUCUAAUGGGAUUGGUUUUACUUAACUUGCAAUGGAUCCGGGGUCAGUGUGGGUAAUAGUAAAACCCGCCUCGGAUCCAACUUAGAUAUUUAGAACUCUUCAUAAAUCCUACUUCUAAGGUAAAAAAAAUUGAUUUGCAUGCAAAAAAAACUCAAUUUUUAUAGCUUUAUCUGAGCCGAUUCGUCUAACCUGCUGUAUCU